GAUGAACGCUAGCGGCAGGCCUAACACAUGCAAGUCGAGGGGUAGAAGGAGCUUGCUCCUUUGAGACCGGCGCACGGGUGCGUAACGCGUAUGCAAUCUACCUUGUACAGGGGAAUAGCCCAGAGAAAUUUGGAUUAAUGCCCCAUAGUAUAUAACCUUCGCAUGUUGGUUAUAUUAAAGUUCCAACGGUACAAGAUGAGCAUGCGUCCCAUUAGUUAGUUGGUAAGGUAACGGCUUACCAAGACGAUGAUGGGUAGGGGUCCUGAGAGGGAGAUCCCCCACACUGGUACUGAGACACGGACCAGAAUCCUACGGGAGGCAGCAGUGAGGAAUAUUGGUCAAUGGUCGCAAGACUGAACCAGCCAUGCCGCGUGCAGGAAGACGGUCCUAUGGAUUGUAAACUGCUUUUAUACAGGAAGAAACCCUCCCACGUGUGGGAGCUUGACGGUACUGUAGGAAUAAGGAUCGGCUAACUCCGUG
rnacentral:rRNA from 1 species